rnacentral:rRNA from 1 species
UACGUAGGGUGCGAGCGUUAAUCGGAAUUACUGGGCGUAAAGUGUGCGCAGGCGGCCAUGCAAGUCGAGUGUGAAAGCCCCGGGCUUAACUUGGGAAUUGCGCUCGAAACUACGUGGCUGGAGUGUGGCAGAGGAAGGUGGAAUUCCAGGUGUAGCGGUGAAAUGCGUAGAGAUCUGGAGGAACACCGAUGGCGAAGGCAGCCUUCUGGGCCAACACUGACGCUCAUGCACGAAAGCGUGGGGAGCAAACAGG